GCCGGAGUGGCGGAAUGGCAGACGCGGAGGUCUCAAAAACCUUUGGGGGGAAACCCUCGUGCCGGUUCGACCCCGGCCUUCGGCACCA
rnacentral:tRNA from 1 species